rfam:Schistosoma rodhaini strain Burundi genome assembly, scaffold: SROB_scaffold0027578
GCACUGCUGAGGAGUCCCAUAAUAGGACGAAACGGCCGUCCAGUAU